CAAAACACAAAUUAUACUAGUGUUCAGUAAAACCAGAACCAAUGUGUGAAGAGCAAAGUGAAGUUAAUAAUGCCGAACUCAAAAUCAAACCAUGAGCAUACACUGUAUAGCAUUCGCUUACAACCGGAAGCAACAAAAAAAUUAAGAGAAGAAAUAAACGGAACAAGUUCAACAAUCAUACCAACAAAAGGAAAAAGAACUUACUCUCGCGACUAAUUUGUUUGAGGUUUUUGUAUUCGCCGCCAUAAGAGGAAGAAUCGGAAUCUGACAUGGUGAAAUCUAUACCCUAAACCUAAACCACAGUCGUCGAUCGAUCACGAAACGAGAAGCAGAACCAAAUCGGGGACGAUUGGAAACCUAAUUCAAGCUUUGAACAGAAAAGAAAGAAAUGAAAUAGAAUCAGUUUAUUCGAAUUGAAUGAGUUAAAAA
rnacentral:lncRNA from 1 species